AGCAGAAAGAAAAGCCAAAGAACGUCUUCGUGGAGCGAAGCCGCUGCCCUUCAGCGUCUGUCACUGCUCCAGGCCAGGAGCCAGGGGAGGCUCCCAGGGCCACGGGCCGGCCCGGCCGCUCCCUGGAGAGAGGCCCAGGCCCCGGGGUCCCCGGUACUUGGACAGUCUGCAGAGGCUGAGGACCCCAGGGGACCCCAGCACCCGGCAUCCAUCUGCAGGCUGGUCACCAUCCUGGCGGGAGGGGGCCGGGGAAGAGGAAGCUGCGGGGGCCCCAGGGGAGGCCCCGCAGCCGCCCACAGGAGCCGCGCCCUGCUGUGGCUGCGCCGUCCCCGCGCCCUCAGCGCGUCCCAGCGGCGGCCCGGCUCCGGGGUGCAGCUGCGCGCUCGGUGUAGGCAGCAGCCCUGUCCCCGGGGGCUCGGCCGGGCUGAGGCUGCAGGGGCCGCGCCGGGGAGCAGGGGCCAGCCCUGGGGGUCGGCGGGUGGCCACGGCAGGAAGCGGGUCCGGGCCGCCAGGCGGGGACGUGGCCUCCAAGCGGCGCUGCGGGCAGGUGCGGCGCUCGGCGGGGCGGGCGCGGAAGGUCCCCUCCCCCGCAGCCCUGCCAGCGAAGCGGCGAACCCGCCGUCAGCCUCCGGCCCAGCCUCUGCCGCAGGGAGCAGGGAGCCCAGGCGCUCCUCCCGAGGGCCCUGCCCCGCCAGGGAGCACUUCCUCCCCGGGAGCCCCGCCGCCUCCCCCCUCUCCGGAGUCCCCUGCUCCUCACACCUGCGGACACAGCGGACGGGCUUCAGAAUCUCUGCUGUGAUGGAUGUUCUCCGGUGGACAUCAACAUGGUAUCUCAUGGUUCAGCGUUUCAUCUCUGACAACAAUGUAAUAUGCUAGGACUUCUUUAACUCCUGAGAAGACCUACAAAUCACUGUCUUCCUUUUAACAGUAUCAAGCGGUGAACACAAGAUUACAAGCCGCAAAAGAAAAUGUGUGCAUUUAUUGGGGAUCUUAGGAAUUGCAAUCUGGGAAACAUAGAGUUAAUUCAAAUUGAUAGUGUGUUUUGGAGAGAGAAAGGAGAUUAGGGUUUUAAAACAGGAAGGAGAAUAGGUUGUUUUGAAUGAAAUCUGAUUAGUGCUGGUAUAGGUACGGUUACACUGUAAUCUAUAUGCGAUUGGUUGCUGCCAGAAAGUCCACUUAUGUCUGUUCUAACAUGAAGCAGAUAUGUUGGCUUUCAGCUGAGUUCUGCAACAAUUCUGAGAAUUAGAGAUAGAAGAUGUGCAUGAGCCCAACUUCUUCCAUGUCCUUCAGGCUCCAUUUUAUUUAUUUACUAUUUAUUUAUUUAUUUAUUUAUUUAUUUAUUUAUUUAUUUAUCUACUUUUUAUAUUAAAAGAUUUUAUUCAUUUAUUCAUGAGAAACACAGAGAGAGAGGCAGAGACACAAGUAGAGGGAGAAGCAGGCUCCUUGCAGGGAGCCCGAUAUGGGACUCAAUCUGGGACCCGGGGAUCACGCCCUGAGCUGAAGGCAGAUAUUCAAUCGCUGAACCACCAGGCUUUCCUGGCUCGAUUUUAUUUUAUUUUUUUAUUUUAUUUUAUUUUAUUUUAUUUUAUUUUAUUUUAUUUUAUUUUAUUUUAUUUUAUUAUUUUAUUUUAUUUUUUUAUUAUUUUUUUAUUUUAUUUUAUAUUUUAUUUUAUUUAUUUAUUUUAUCUUGCUCCAUUUUAAGUAACCUCUUAGGCAAUGUUUAUUCCAUUUUAUCCCCUCCAUUAUCAAUAAAUAUAUGUUAUGUAUACAAUAUCAUAGAACAUAUGUAACAUAUAAAAUGUAUGCUAUGUGACAUGUAUGUGACAUGUUCCAUGUGACAUGUUUUGUAAUAUAUAACAUAUCUUAUAUAUGUUGUCUAUUUAUGUGUUGUGUAUAUAAUAUAUAGUCAUAUAAAUA
rnacentral:lncRNA from 1 species